rnacentral:tRNA from 1 species
GCCCCCAUAGUUCAAUGGAUAGAACAGGCCCGUCCUAAGGGCAAAAUGUGUGUUCGAUUCAUGCUGGGGGCACGA